CAGUCGCCGCGGUAAUACGGAGGGUGCAAGCGUUAUCCGGAUUUAUUGGGUUUAAAGGGUCCGUAGGCGGACUUAUAAGUCAGUGGUGAAAGCCUGUCGCUUAACGAUAGAACUGCCAUUGAUACUGUAAGUCUUGAGUAUAUUUGAGGUAGCUGGAAUAAGUAGUGUAGCGGUGAAAUGCAUAGAUAUUACUUAGAACACCAAUUGCGAAGGCAGGUUACCAAGAUAUAACUGACGCUGAGGGACGAAAGCGUGGGUAGCGAACAGGAUUAGAUACCCCAGUAGUCUCUGUCUCUUAUAC
rnacentral:rRNA from 1 species